GAUGAACGCUGGCGGCGUGCCUAAUACAUGCAAGUCGAGCGAACAGAUGAGGAGCUUUCUCUUCUUCCGUUAUCGUCGGACGGGUGAGUAACACGUGUAUAACCUCCCUCUAAGACUGGGAUACCUUCGGUAAACCGGAGCUCUUACCGGACAAUAUAUUUAAUCUCAUGGUUCAAUAUUGAAAGACGGUUUUGUUUUCACUUAUAGAUUGACUCGCGCCGCAUUUUCUGGUUGGUUAGGUAACGGCUUACCAAGGCAACGAUGCGUAGCCGACCUGAGAGGGUGAUCGGCCACACGGGAACUGAGAAACGGUCAAGACUCCUAGGGGAGGAAGCAGGAGGGAAUCUUCCGAAAUGGGCGAAAGCCGGACGGAGAAACGCGGGGUAAGGGAGGAGGGUCUUCGGAUCGUAAAACUCGGUAAUUAGGGAAGAAGGAAUGUGUAAGUAAAGAGGCAAGUAUUGACGGUACCGAAACAGAAAGCCACGGCUAACUACGUG
rnacentral:rRNA from 1 species